UGGGGAAUAUUGCGCAAUGGACGAAAGUCUGACGCAGCAACGCCGCGUGAGAGAUGACGGCCUUCGGGUUGUAAACCUCUUUCAGCAGGGACGAAGCGAGAGUGACGGUACCUGCAGAAGAAGGACCGGCCAACUACGUGCCAGCAGCCGCGGUAAUACGUAGGGUCCGAGCGUUGUCCGGAAUUAUUGGGCGUAAAGGGCUCGUAGGCGGUUCGUCACGUCGGGAGUGAAAACUCGGAGCUUAACUCCGAGCCUGCUUCCGAUACGGGCAGACUAGAGGUAGGCAGGGGAGAGCGGAACUCCUGGUGUAGCGGUGGAAUGCGCAGAUAUCAGGAAGAACACCGGUGGCGAAGGCGGCUCUCUGGGCCUUACCUGACGCUGAGGAGCGAAAGCGUGGGUAGCGAACAGG
rnacentral:rRNA from 1 species